UUUUUUUGGAUUUUACCAGAAAUUGGAAGGAAAACGUUAUCCAAGAACGUUACCGAGGUUUAAUACUGGUAGCAAACUUUGGACUCCUUCAUUUGGUUUUCUAAAGCUAUCGUGGUAAAUCGCGAGUGUAAAAGUUCAAUUUAGUAACUUGGUGAAAGUUUUUUUUUUAAAGUGAAUUGACGUUUUUUUUUAUCCACAUUGGUUUUUAUUUUUUUUGUGUUGCUUACGAACAAGACACUUGUGCCUCCUCUUAAAAAUUCCUACCAUUUUUGGACCAUUGGGUCCCAUAGAAGAGCUUUGGAGGCUUUCCUCAGGGCUGCCUAAGCCCACAGGAUUUUUUGCCUUUUUCUUGCCACCUUUAUGAGGUUUCUACAUAUUGUAUAUUCACGGCACUGUCGAGCACCGCAGAAAAGAAAACCACCGAUUGAAACCUGUCCUCGGCUCAGUUCCCUUUUUCUUGCUUCUCAGCAAAAUUUUAUUGUGGUUUGCUUACACUGGAAACACUGGAGAAUUCAGUCUUCUAUUGUCGCUGCAUCCUACAUAUCGUCUCUAAACACAGGGGUUCGUUGCCCGACGAAGAAAUUAGACCGGAUAAUAUGUGAGAUUCGAUGAAAGUGUGUAGUUUUAUGGCCUGGAAGCCCGAGAAUCAAUGAAAAGUGGUAUAGUUUCGACAUAGAAAGCCAGCC